GGGAAGAUAUAGUAUAUGAAGCUACAGGUGAAGGCCACCAUGAAGAACUGGUUGCGCGUGAAGCCACCUUUUCUGCGUUCUUCCUUCUCAUGAAGUGCCCUGAUGAGCAAACACAUUACAAAUGUACUCAAGUUCCAAAAUGUCCUUAAAAUCUUUCAAGAGUCCAAGCUGUUGCAAUCAUGUCAUUUUCUUAUAGGCAGCGGGCCUGUCAUGACCUUGGCCUCUUUCAUGCUAAUCAGGGCCACCACGACGUGUGAUGAGUGAUGACCCACAGCAGGUGUACCUGAAGAGGGAGACCUGGACGAGGUUGGAUGGCCACCACAUGGUGGCCGGCUCUACAAGAUACCGCCGGAGUAUGCCUGCCCAGCCAAAGCCGAGCACCUGGGUGGUGAGGACGACGAGGAGGGAGACGAAGAACGUG